rnacentral:lncRNA from 1 species
GCGGGUUCGGUUUUCAGCACCAAAUGCUCCUGGAUCCAUAAUAAGCAACCACAAAUACAGACAACAAAUGACUGUGUUUAUCAUUGUCUCUUCUUGGGUAAAGAAUUGCUCUUUAGUAAACACUCAUUACACACUUGCAGCAUUCAACAGGAAAGUGGCUCAGAAAUGUGAGCAGAGAUAAAGGACGCUUAACCCUCCAUCUCCCAGAGCUGAGGACCAGCGUGGGUUCCAACUGCAGCUCAAAUAGAACUGGAGUGAGGAUGCCUGCUUCGAACGCAUGAAAAGCUAUCAAGAAGAAGGCAUCACAGCUUUCUGGAGGAGACAGUACCUGAUGCAGCAUUUUCCGAGAUCAGAGUCACCCUGUUGCACUGUGCCUGCAGGCCAGUCUUUAGGGUCUGGAAAGUGCCCUUUGGCUCAUGGACGUCAUGCCCUUUGGCUACCCUGUACAGCUGUUGGACCGGCCACCUCCUGAGCCAUAGCAGCCAACUGCCAACCAAACCAAGAGCAGAGGCAUUGACAUUGGAACCCUUUGGAAAUGGAACUUUUGAGAAGUUUGGGCAUCUUUCUUUUACCUGCUCUUUAAACCAAGCAGUCAAGUCUGAAUGCUUCUUCUCUGUUAUAAACUCAUAUUCCUGCCUCAUAUCCUCCAGGACCUUAAUCAGAUCUUCUCCCGGGGCUGCAUCCAACUUCAUGUUGACCUUGAAGUCAUCUGGGACAUGAUGUUUCCCCAUCUCCUCUCUAAUAACAGAGAGAGAAAAUGAAUUGGCUGUGACCAUCAGAAGGCCAGAAGUGUGUUGACGGGCAGCAGUUCACAGAUCUAUUAAGAAAAAGAACCAGCUUAUGUGGUUGUCGCUCUUUUACUGGUUUGAUU